rnacentral:rRNA from 1 species
GUGGGGAAUAUUGGACAAUGGGCGAAAGCCUGAUCCAGCCAUGCCGCGUGUGUGAAGAAGGUCUUCGGAUUGUAAAGCACUUUAAGUUGGGAGGAAGGGCAGUAAGUUAAUACCUUGCUGUUUUGACGUUACCGACAGAAUAAGCACCGGCUAACUUCGUGCCAGCAGCCGCGGUAAUACGAAGGGUGCAAGCGUUAAUCGGAAUUACUGGGCGUAAAGCUCGCGUAGGUGGUUUUGUAAGUUGGAGGUGAAAUCCCCGGGCUCAACCUGGGAACUGCCUCCAAAACUGCAUGACUAGAGUACGGUAGAGGGUAGUGGAAUUUCCUGUGUAGCGGUGAAAUGCGUAGAUAUAGGAAGGAACACCAGUGGCGAAGGCGACUACCUGGACUGAUACUGACACUGAGGUGCGAAAGCGUGGGGAGCAAACAGGAUUAGAAACCCUAGUAGUCC